GAUGAAGAACGUAGAGAAAUGCGAUAAGUAGUGUGAAUUGCAGAAUUCAGUGAAUCAUCGAAUCUUUGAACGCACAUUGCGCCCUUUGGUAUUCCUUAGGGCAUGCCUGUUCGAGCGUCAUUUAAACCUUCAAGCUAAGCUUGGUGUUGGGUGACUGUCCGCUUCACGGCGGACUCGCCUCAAAAUUAUUGGCGGCCGGUACAUUGGCUUCGAGCGCAGCAGAAACGCGAACUCGGGCCCGUCGUAUUGGCUCCCAGAAGCUAUCUUCACAAUUUUGACCUCGGAUCAGGUAGGGAUACCCGCUGAACUUAAGCAUAUCAAUAAGCGGAGGA
rnacentral:misc_RNA from 1 species